ensembl:lncRNA
GAGAAAGGAAGUGAGUGAAAUUCAGGCGUGUCUCUGUGAUUUAGGUAUAAAGAGUGCUGAGUGUGUAGUCAGGGUCCAGUACAUCAGUAUGGAGAAAGUUGUGUGGCUACUGGCUCUUCUGUGUCUGCAGGUCUGUCUGCUCUCCACAGAGGCCCAACCUGGAACAGACAGACUGACAGCUGCCCAAACCAACCAAGACAUGGUGUCUGUCAUCUGGCCUCAGGAUUCAAGGAUUAAAAGAGGGGGGAAUAACCAGAGUAAAUGCCAGAAGAAGCCAAACAUAAGAUGUCGCAACCGCAUUGGAGCGAAUGGUGCUUUGGGAGAAGGACCCCCAGGACCCAACAUCAAUAUUAGUAAAAAAUAAUCAGUACAGCUUACAUGGAAAUACGAAUAAAGGCACCAUUUCACUUUUGCCAUAUUGGGGUCAAUCUAAGAAAUGCCACUAUAUGUCAAGUUGAAUAAUAUCACAAAGGGGAUUUUUUUCACUGCUGUUAUAGGAAGUAUCACUGCCUUCUUCUCACAAAUGAUCCAUAACUAUAAAACAAAAUAAAGGUUGGUUGAACUCAAUGGCGGGUCAUUUUGAUCUUAAGACAGUGGGAGGGUUAAAUAUCCUGAUGAAUAUUAAUCAAUGUUUUUGUGCAUGUCAAGUGAAUCUGGAUAUGUAAGUUCAGAAGGUUUGUAACUUCAGAAGUUCAUUUCUCCAUGACUAUUUUGUGACAACUAUAACAAUGCAGUUGUUACAUUGUGUAAUAUCCUGUGUAUAAAAAUUGUUAUGUGAUGAAAGACAAAACAAACUCCUUAUCUGGUUGGAAUGAACAAUUCUGAUGCAAGCCUGGCAACAUUGCACCAUGGUGUUGAUGAAGUCAUUGAUACACACUGCUCAAAUAAAUGAAGGGAGCUCUGAAAUCACACACCGGG